rnacentral:lncRNA from 1 species
UUUACCUAUCCAAUUCGACCUAUCAUGAUACUAUCACAUCAACGAUAUUCAAUGAAUCAAAAUAAAUUAACGCUUACUUUUUAUCAAUUUCAAUUCCACCUCCCACUAAUUUCAUUUUUUAUCAAUCAAACCUUCAACAUUACUCCGAUUCAUCCCACAUAUCAACAAAAUCAAAUCGUCAAACACAUAAUUAUAACAUCAUAACACCAACAAAAAUCCAAACUAUCAACACACAUAAUCACAACCAAUCCAAAUAAUCAAAAUAAAGAACAGGGAGACGGGUUAAAGAAAUGGACCUUCCGAUAA